ACUUUUAACAACGGAUCUCUUGGUUCUCACAUCGAUGAAGAACGUAGCAAAGUGCGAUAACUAGUGUGAAUUGCAUAUUCAGUGAAUCAUCGAGUCUUUG
rnacentral:rRNA from 1 species